AAAGCGUGCGCAGGCGGUUAUGUAAGACAGAUGUGAAAUCCCCGGGCUCAACCUGGGAACUGCAUUAGUGACUGCAUAGCUGGAGUACGGCAGAGGGGGAUGGAAUUCCGCGUGUAGCAGUGAAAUGCGUAGAUAUGCGGAGGAACACCAAUUGCGAAGGCAGGUUACCAUGUCUUAACUGACGCUGAUGGACGAAAGCGUGGGGAGCGAACAGGAUUAGAUACCCCUGU
rnacentral:rRNA from 1 species